rnacentral:tRNA from 2 species
GUUGCGGUGGCCGAGCGGUUAAGACGUUGGACUGCUAAUCAAAUGGGAUCUUCCCGCGCAGGCUCGAAUCCUGCCCGCAACG